CCACCCUUGUAGUGUUGAUGUUCUAACGUCGACCCCUUAUCGGGGUUGCGGACAGUGCCUGGUGGGUAGUUUGACUGGGGCGGUCUCCUCCCAAAGAGUAACGGAGGAGCACGAAGGUGGGCUAAUCACGGUUGGACAUCGUGAGGUUAGUGCAAUGGCAUAAGCCCGCUUGACUGCGAGAAUGACAAUUCGAGCAGGUGCGAAAGCAGGUCAUAGUGAUCCGGUGGUUCUGAAUGGAAGGGCCAUCGCUCAACGGAUAAAAGGUACUCCGGGGAUAACAGGCUGAUACCGCCCAAGAGUUCAUAUCGACGGCGGUGUUUGGCACCUCGAUGUCGGCUCAUCACAUCCUGGGGCUGAAGUCGGUCCCAAGGGUAUGGCUGUUCGCCAUUUAAAGUGGUACGCGAGCUGGGUUUAGAACGUCGUGAGACAGUUCGGUCCCUAUCUGCCGUGGGCGUUGGAAGAUUGAAGGGGGCUGCUCCUAGUACGAGAGGACCGGAGUGGACGAACCUCUGGUGUUCGGGUUGUGUCGCCAGACGCAUUGCCCGGUAGCUAAGUUCGGAAUCGAUAACCGCUGAAAGCAUCUAAGCGGGAAGCGAGCCCUGAGAUGAGUCUUCCCUGAUACUUUAAGUAUCCUAAAGGGUUGUCGGAGACUACGACGUUGAUAGGUCA
rnacentral:rRNA from 1 species